rnacentral:tRNA from 1 species
GCGGCAGUAGCUCAGUGGUAGGGCCCCAGCUUCGCAUGCGGGGGAGACCUGGGUUCGAUUCCCGGCUGCUUCC